AGAGACAGCAGCAGCCGCGGGAAUACGGAGGGUGCAAGCGUUAAUCGGAAUUACUGGGCGUAAAGCGCUCGCAGGCGGUCUGACAAGUCAGAUGUGAAAUCCCCGGGCUUAACCUGGGAACUGCAUUUGAAACUGUCAGGCUGGAGUCUUGUAGAGGGGGGUAGAAUUCCAGGUGUAGCGGUGAAAUGCGUAGAGAUCUGGAGGAAUACCGGUGGCGAAGGCGGCCCCCUGGACAAAGACUGACGCUCAGGUGCGAAAGCGUGGGGAGCAAACAGGAUUAGAUACCCGUGUAGUCCCUGUCUCUUAUAC
rnacentral:rRNA from 1 species